CCCUUAGAUGUUCUGGGCCGCACGCGCGCUACACUGACGAAUGCAACGAGCUUAUAACCUUGGCCGAAAGGUCUGGGUAAUCUCCAAAUUUCGUCGUGAUGGGGAUAGAUUAUUGCAAUUAUUAAUCUUCAACGAGGACUGCCUAGUAAGCGCAAGUCAUCAGCUUGCAUUGAUUACGUCCCUGCCCUUUGUACACACCACCCGUCGCUCCUACCGAUUGAAUGGUCCGGUGAAGCGUUCGGACCGUGGCCUUUGGACGGUUCGCCGUCUGUUGGCUGCGGGAAGUUCGUUAAACCUUAUCAUUUAGAGGAAGGAGAANUCGUANCA
rnacentral:rRNA from 1 species